UCUGGUUGAUCCUGCCAGUAGUGAUAUGCUUGUUUCAAAGAUUAAGCCAUGCAUGUCUAAGUAUAAGCGAACUUAUACAGUGAAACUGCGGAUGGCUCAUUAAAACAGUUUGAAUUUAUUUGAUGAAUGUAUGAGAAUACUACUUGGAUAACCGUAGUAAUUCUAGAGCUAAUACAUGCAACGACGCCCGACCGUUUCACUACGGAAGGGCUGUAUUUAUUGGAUACCAAAACCAUCCUUCCCUCGGGAAGUUUUGUUUGAUGAUUCACAAUAACUGAUCGGAUCGCCACUGUGGUGGCGACAGGUCAUUCAACAUUCUGCCCUAUCAGCUUUCGAUGGUUGUGUAGUGGACAACCAUGGCCAUAACGGGUAACGGAGAAUCAGGGUUCGAUUCCGGAGAAGGAGCUUGAGAAUUGGCUACUACAUCUAAGGAAGGCAGCAGGCGCGCAAAUUACCCAAUCCCGAUUCGGGGAGGUAGUGACAAAAAUAACAAUACCGGGCCUUUUUGGGCUUGGUAAUUGGAAUGAGGGAGAGUUAAACGGACCAUCGAGUAUCCAUUGGAGGGCAAGUCUGGUGCCAGCAGCUGCGGUAAUACCAGCUCCAAUAGCGUAUAUUAAAGUUGUUGCAGUUAAAAAGCUCGUAGUUGGACUUGUGUGCGCUGUCCGCGGGUGGCCUGCGCCCAAAAGGGCGUUUCGGUUCGGCCCCGGUAGCGCCUUGAAAUCUGCAGCUGGGGGGACGUUGGCCUUAACUGGUCGGCGACCGCACGCCGGCUGCUCGGUUACUGUGAGAAAAUUAGAGUGUUCAAGGCAGGCAUUGGGUGCAAUUGAAUACAUUAGCAUGGAAUAAUAAAAUAUGGCUCCUGCCGUAUUUUGUUGGUUUUGACUGGUGGGAGUAAUGAUUGAUAGGGACGGUUGGGGGUGCUAGUAUUGAGCGGCCAGAGGUGAAAUUCAUGGAUUCGCUCAAGACUAACUUAUGCGAAAGCAUUCACCAAGGACGUCCUCUUUAAUCAAGAACGAAAGUUGGGGGAUCGAAGACGAUCAGAUACCGUCGUAGUCUCAACCAUAAACUAUGUCGACUUGGGAUCGGCGGUAGUUUUUUCAUUAAGACACUGUCGGGACCACGGGAGAAAUCAAAGUGUCUGGACUCUGGGGGAAGUAUGGUCGCAAGGCUGAAACUUGAAGGAAUUGACGGAAGGGCACCACCAGGAGUGGAGCCUGCGGCUUAAUUUGACCCAACACGGGGAAACUUACCAGGUCCAGAGAUGUAGAGGA
rnacentral:rRNA from 1 species